UACGGAGGGUGCAAGCGUUAUCCGGAUUUACUGGGUUUAAAGGGUGCGUAGGUGGCCAUUUAAGUCAGAGGUGAAAGUUUGUCGCUUAACGAUGAGAUUGCCUUUGAUACUGAGUGGCUUGAAUGGGUAUGAGGUUGGCGGAAUGUGGCAUGUAGUGGUGAAAUACUUAGAUAUGCCAUAGAACACCAAUUGCGAAGGCAGCUGACUAAUACUUUAUUGACACUGAGGCACGAAAGUGUGGGUAGCGAACAGG
rnacentral:rRNA from 1 species